rnacentral:rRNA from 1 species
UACGUAGGGCGCAAGCGUUGUCCGGAAUUAUUGGGCGUAAAGAGCUCGUAGGCGGUUUGUCGCGUCUGCCGUGACAGCCCGGGGCUUAACUCCGGGUCUGCGGUGGAUACGGGCAGACUAGAGUGCGGUAGGGGAGACUGGAAUUCCUGGUGUAGCGGUGAAAUGCGCAGAUAUCAGGAGGAACACCGAUGGCGAAGGCAGCUCGCUGGGACGUGACUGACGCUGAGACGCGAAAGCGUGGGGAGCAAACAGG